CACCGCGGUUAUACGAGAGACCCAAGUUGAUUGACCCCGGCGUAAAGCGUGGUUAGGAAAAGACUAAAACUAAAGCCGAACAUCUUCAGAACUGUCAUACGCAUCCGAAGAUAAGAAGAUCAACUACGAAAGUGGCUUUACACACUCUGAACCCACGAAAGCUAUGACA
rnacentral:rRNA from 1 species